rnacentral:rRNA from 1 species
UUCGCAAUGCCCGAAAGGGUGACGAAGCGACGCCGCGUGGGUGAGGAAGGCCCUCGGGUUGUAAAGCCCUGUCAGGAGUUAAGAAAUGUAAAUACGCUAAUACCGUAUCUAUUUGACAAAGGCUCCAAAGGAAGCCACGGCUAACUCUGUGCCAGCAGCCGCGGUAAUACAGAGGUGGCAAGCGUUGUUCGGUAUUAUUGGGCGUAAAGAGCACGUAGGUGGUUUUGUAAGUCAGAUGUGAAAGCCUUCUGUUCAAAGGAAGAACGGCAUCUGAAACUGCGGAUCUUGAGUAUAGGAGGGGAGAAUGGAACUUCUGGUGGAGCGGUGAAAUGCGUAGAUAUCAGAAGGAACGCCGGCGGCGAAAGCGAUUCUCUGGCCUAUUACUGACACUCAGUGUGCGAAAGCUAGGGGAGCAAACGGGAUUAGAUACCCCGGUAGUCCUAGCCGUAAACGAUGGGCACUAAGUAGAGGGGUUUU